GUGGGCUCGCUCAACACAGUUCCUGUCGCCUCGGACCAUCCUCUCCGAUGACGAUUGCGGGGGCGGCGGCAGCAAUGGCGACGGUGCCGGAGGGAUGACCGGGUGGUGAGGGCCACUCCCCUCUCUCGUACGUGGAGUACUUCCCCCUUUCCCUCUUCAUGCAGUAGCGACCAGGAGGCAAAUUGGACACUGCAAGUCUACAACGAUACGGUGCGAGCGCGGGGGCGGCAACGACCUUCUCCGGCAUCCCUCUCCAUCGCCGGCGGUCUUCUUUCUAGUUUUUUUUGAUUUUUUCGGAACGGGGCUAAGAAGGAGGAAGAAGUCCAAGAAAGGAGAUGAAUGGAAAGUGGGAGCUUGCAUACUAAAGGGGGUGUUGUAGUAGACCUUCGCUCGGAAGUGAGAUCAAUUUGAGGAGGGGCUCAACGCUGCUGAGGAACAACACUCAAGAGUAUCCUUUAAGAUCCAGCCCUGUUUCUCGACAUUCUUUUCUAUAUUGGAUGAACUGUUCCUUCUUCCUUCUUUGGAGCUCCAUUGCUACACAAAAAAGGAGCCAUGUGCCCGUGUCCAGCCGUUUUCACUUCGUGGUAUUGGGAUGCUGCUACUGUAUUAGAAUGGUCAUCCCAUCAUUGUGAAUCUGUUGUAUUGCAGAAUAAGGCACAGAACGAAACCAGAAUAAGGCACAA